rnacentral:rRNA from 1 species
CAGUCGCCGCGGGAAUACGGAGGGUGCAAGCGUUAAUCGGAAUUACUGGGCGUAGAGCGUGCGUAGGCGGUUCGUUAAGUCUGUUGUGAAAGCCCCGGGCUCAACCUGGGAAUGGCAAUGGAUACUGGCGAGCUAGAGUGUGUCAGAGGAUGGUGGAAUUCCCGGUGUAGCGGUGAAAUGCGUAGAGAUCGGGAGGAACAUCAGUGGCGAAGGCGGCCAUCUGGGACAACACUGACGCUGAGGCACGAAAACGUGGGGAGCAAACAGGAUUAGAUACCCGUGUAGUCCCUGUCUCUUAUAC